GCUUAACACAUGCAAGUCGAGCGAAAGGCUCCUUCGGGGGUACUCGAGCGGCGAACGGGGUGAGUAACACGUGAGUAAUCUGCCCUUGGCUUUGGGAUAACUACCGGAAACGGUGGCUAAUACCGGAUACGACCACUCCUUGCAUGAGGUGGUGGUGGAAAGUUUUUCGGCCAGGGAUGUGCUCGCGGCCUAUCAGCUUGUUGGUGGGGUAAUGGCCUACCAAGGCUUCGACGGUAGCCGGCCUGAGAGGGUGACCGGCCACACUGGGACUGAGACACGGCCCAGACUCCUACGGGAGGCAGCAGUGGGGAAUAUUGGACAAUGGGCGGAAGCCUGAUCCAGCAACGCCGCGUGAGGGAUGACGGCCUUCGGGUUGUAAACCUCUUUCAGUACCGACGAAGCGCCGAUGAUGGUGGUGACGGUAGGUACAGAAGAAGCACCGGCCAACUACGUG
rnacentral:rRNA from 1 species